rnacentral:lncRNA from 1 species
AACCCGUUAUUUAUAAAAUUUCAAAAAAAAAAAAAAAACCCAAAAAACCCAGUUACACAAAUCUGCAAAUAGAUCACUAGGUCCUUGAAAGAGCCUGUGCAAGAGAGGCCUGGAGUUUUCUUCGUUAGCCUCCCAGUAAAUCUGCAUCCGUUCAGCAUUCUGAGCCCCAGAGUUUUCCUCUUCAAGGUGGGAAGAGUGAGGCCCACUGUAUAGACGCACCAUGAAGAUCAAAUGAGCUGUAUUUGAAAACCCGUUGACCACGAGACUGUGAAAGAGCGGCUCUGUGUUGAAGAAGGAAGGAGUGGAGGAGUGUUAGCCAGCCGUCUGCUUCACGUCCAGUGGCCCGCUUGGAAUUCCGUGUCCCCUAGACUGCUGAGCAGUCCGAGGGGAGCCCCCGCGCCGUCUGAAAAGGGGGGUGAAGAGCCGGAAAUGGAAACCCAGCUCACAUGCGUGGCGUUUUUUGAGCAGGCAAAAUGGUCAUUUUUCUUCACCCAAGUCUGGCUGCUCGGGACCCUCCGUGUGAUCCAAGGGCACUGGGCCCGACUGGCACGUUACGGACAGAUGGGCUUCUUAAGCAGCACGCGGCUGGAGUGAUUUUCUCGGCUGGCUCAGAGCCUCUGUCACACAAGGGCUGUUCUGCCGAGAGCGUGGGGGCCUGAUGCCUUUGGAAUUCAAUAGCCGGGACCAGGACGCCCCUCAGCAAGGCUCCACGGCCAGACUUAGACAACCCUGGGUCUGAAAAUCGGCUCUUGGGUCAAGAGCUGUGGUGAUGAUGUUGAGAGAUCCUUGAACGCCGCAAGUCCUCCUAGACCCCGACCUCACCGUGCCUGCCCUGUGUGGCUGCUGCCCGCUGUCACUAUGGUGGCCCUGGGGGAGGGAGGCUGGGGAACAGAGUCCAGGCACAGGCGGCAGACGCCGGGGACGCCGGGUGUGGUGAGGAGACGCCGCGGGGCUCCAGCAGAGCUAGAUCUCUCUCGACUCUGAUUUCCGCAUUUACAGGUGAGGAGAUGGGCCCAGAUAGGCCCUAAAAUUUCUGCCACUGCUAACCUUUUAGAAUUAAAAAAAUUCGAGUAUGUUGGCAUUGACCCACCUCCAGGUGGUAACCCUCUGAGGUUGGAGAGAUGGGUGGUGUCCGCAGAAACAUUUUUCUUCUUUUUUAUGACUGCACCUGCAGCAUGUGGAAGUUCCUGGGCUAGGGGUCAAAUUGGAGCCACGGCUGCCGGCCUAUGCCACAGCCACAGCAACACCGGAUCUGAGCUGCAUCCGUGCCGCAGUAUGUGGUGCUGGAUCCUUAACCCACUGAUCGAGGCCAGGGAUGGAACCUGCAUCCUCACAGAUACCAUGUCGGGUUCUUAACCUGCUGAGCCACAACGGGAACGCCAGAAACAGGAAUUUUUAAACCCUUGGUGUCCUGAUUCCAAUUCCCCAUCUUCCUUCUGCAUCUGCACCACUUACCUGUCACCCUGUGGUGCUCAGUAGCAGCCACGGAGAACCAUGCAUCGAGGGCUCUGCAGAGACACCCAUGCAUCCUUCCAGGUGGCAGUCGUAUGUGCUCGUGCUCGGUUGAGUGAGAGAAGCAGACCUCUAAACAGUCGGGUGUGAUGCAAUUUCUUAAAACAGGAAAACGGUAUCUGUAUCUAUAUGCAGAGAAAAAUACUGGAAGGAAUUAAUCUACCGUGUUGCCAGUGCUUCUGUCUACAUGGUAAAAUAAUAGAUCAGGAGUUCCCGAUGUGGCUUAGUGGUUAAUGAACCCGACUAUAUCCCUGAAGACGUGGGUUCAAUCCUUGGCCUUGCUCAGUGGGUUAAGGAUCCGGCAUUGCCAUGAGCUGGGGUGUAGGUCGCAGACAUGGCUUGCAUCCUGAGUUGCUGUGGCUGUGGUGUAGGCCGGCAGCUACAGCUCUGGUUCAACCCCUAGCCCAGAAAGCUCCAUAUGCUGUGAGUGUGUCCCCAAAAGAUAAAAAUAAAUAAAUAAACAAAUAAAUAAAUUAGGUUAAAUAUUUUUUAUUUUGAAAUUAAAGUAAAUUUCCCCGAAUUUUUAAUCUUCGGUAUGUACUAUGACAAUUUGGGAGCUGGAGGAUGCAUAGGAGGUAUUUGUAGGGAGAGGUCUGGGAGCCGCUGCUACCCUGACACCCAGGACAGAGGCUCUCCCACCUUAACUAACAGAAGUAUCAUGCAGGGAACUUGUUAAAACUGCUAGUUCCUAGGAGUUCCCAUUGUGGCACUGUGGUUAACGAAUCCGACUAGGAACCAUGAGGUUUCUGGUUCGGUCCCUGGCCUUGCUCAGUGGGUUAGGACCCGGCAUUGCCAUGAGCUGUGGUGUAGGUCACAGACAUGGCUCGGAUCCUGCGUUGCUGUGGCUCCGGCGUAGGCCAGUGGCUACAGCUCCAAUUGGACCCCUAGCCU